rnacentral:rRNA from 1 species
AACGAACGCUGGCGGCAUGCCUAACACAUGCAAGUCGAACGAGACCUUCGGGUCUAGUGGCGCACGGGUGCGUAACGCGUGGGAACCUGCCCUUAGGUUCGGAAUAACUCCCCGAAAGGGGUGCUAAUACCGGAUAAUGUCUUCGGACCAAAGAUUUAUCGCCUUUGGAUGGGCCCGCGUUGGAUUAGCUAGUUGGUAGGGUAAAAGCCUACCAAGGCGACGAUCCAUAGCUGGUCUGAGAGGAUGAUCAGCCACACUGGGACUGAGACACGGCCCAGACUCCUACGGGAGGCAGCAGUGGGGAAUAUUGGACAAUGGGCGAUAGCCUGAUCAAGCAAUGCCGCGUGAGUGAUGAAGGCCUUAGGGUUGUAAAGCUCUUUUACACGGGAUGAUAAUGACAGUACCGGGAGAAUAAGCUCCGGCUAACUCCGUG